ensembl:antisense Cntrobos centrobin, centrosomal BRCA2 interacting protein, opposite strand
GAUUGAAGCGGAGCCCGUCAGCACGAGCCUGUGGUCCCAGCUGAAGCAGGAGGAGGAUUUGAGGACUUUGGGGCCAGCCUGGGAACACAGUGAGUUUGCACUGUCACUCAGCACCAUGUUUCGGACCUUCACCCAGACAGACAGAUUGACAGACAGGAGUCUGUAACUACAGUUCACCCAUCUGAACUGCUGCGAGUAUUUCCUGAUGUGAGACCGCCUUGGUGGAAGGACACUCAACUGCCUGCAUUUUAUUUUUCUGUGACAUCUAUGGACUUGUCUCUGGUGCAGAGCUCUUUUUCUAGGGCAUGUCCCCAGGGACAGCUCUGCUGCAUCAUAGGGUGUGCAUUGCCACAUAUCAGGCACUGCCAAAAUGUUUCCCAAAAUG